AUACGGAGGGUGCGAGCGUUAUUCGGAAUCACUGGGCGUAAAGGACGCGUAGGCGGGUUGGCAAGUCAGAUGUGAAAUCCUACAGCUUAACUGUAGAACUGCAUUUGAAACUGCUAACCUAGAGUAUGGGAGGGGGAGAUGGAAUUAGUGGUGUAGGGGUAAAAUCCGUAGAUAUCACUAGGAAUACCGAAAGCGAAGGCGAUCUCCUGGAACAUAACUGACGCUAAGGCGUGAAAGCGUGGGGAGCAAACAGGAUUAGAAACCCCAGUAGUCC
rnacentral:rRNA from 1 species